GGAUUAGAUACCCUGGUAGUCCACGCCGUAAACGAUGUCGACUAGCCGUUGGAUUCCUUGAGGAUGCAGUGGCGCAGUUAACGCGAUAAGUCGACCGCCUGGGGAGUACGGCCGCAAGGUUAAAACUCAAAUGAAUUGACGGGGGCCCGCACAAGCGGUGGAGCAUGUGGUUUAAUUCGAUGCAACGCGAAGAACCUUACCAGGUCUUGACAUCCUACUAAGUUUCCAGAGAUGGAUUCGUGCCUUCGGGAAAGUAGUGACAGGUGCUGCAUGGCUGUCGUCAGCUCGUGCCG
rnacentral:rRNA from 1 species